GACGAACGCUGGCGGCGUGCUUAACACAUGCAAGUCGAACGGAAAGGCCCUGCUUUUGUGGGGUGCUCGAGUGGCGAACGGGUGAGUAACACGUGAGUAACCUGCCCUUGACUUUGGGAUAACUUCAGGAAACUGGGGCUAAUACCGGAUAGGAGCUCCUGCUGCAUGGUGGGGGUUGGAAAGUUUCGGCGGUUGGGGAUGGACUCGCGGCUUAUCGGCUUGUUGGUGGGGUAGUGGCUUACCAAGGCUUUGACGGGUAGCCGGCCUGAGAGGGUGACCGGCCACAUUGGGACUGAGAUACGGCCCAGACUCCUACGGGAGGCAGCAGUGGGGAAUAUUGCACAAUGGGCGGAAGCCUGAUGCAGCAACGCCGCGUGCGGGAUGACGGCCUUCGGGUUGUAAACCGCUUUCGCCUGUGACGAAGCGUGAGUGACGGUAAUGGGUAAAGAAGCACCGGCUAACUACGUGCCAGCAGCCGCGGUGAUACGUAGGGUGCGAGCGUUGUCCGGAUUUAUUGGGCGUAAAGGGCUCGUAGGUGGUUGAUCGCGUCGGAAGUGUAAUCUUGGGGCUUAACCCUGAGCGUGCUUUCGAUACGGGUUGACUUGAGGAAGGUAGGGGAGAAUGGAAUUCCUGGUGGAGCGGUGGAAUGCGCAGAUAUCAGGAGGAACACCAGUGGCGAAGGCGGUUCUCUGGGCCUUUCCUGACGCUGAGGAGCGAAAGCGUGGGGAGCGAACAGGCUUAGAUACCCUGGUAGUCCACGCUGUAAACGGUGGGUACUAGGUGUGGGGUCCAUUCCACGGGUUCCGUGCCGUAGCUAACGCUUUAAGUACCCCGCCUGGGGAGUACGGCCGCAAGGCUAAAACUCAAAGGAAUUGACGGGGCCCCGCACAAGCGGCGGAGCAUGCGGAUUAAUUCGAUGCAACGCGUAGAACCUUACCUGGGUUUGACUUGGAUCGGGAGUGCUCAGAGAUGGGUGUGCCUCUUUUGGGGUCGGUUCACAGGUGGUGCAUGGCUGUCGUCAGCUCGUGUCGUGAGAUGUUGGGUUAAGUCCCGCAACGAGCGCAACCCUUGUUCACUGUUGCCAGCACGUUAUGGUGGGGACUCAGUGGAGACCGCCGGGGUCAACUCGGAGGAAGGUGGGGAUGACGUCAAGUCAUCAUGCCCCUUAUGUCCAGGGCUUCACGCAUGCUACAAUGGCUGGUACAGAGAGUGGCGAGCCUGUGAGGGUGAGCGAAUCUCGGAAAGUCGGUCUCAGUUCGGAUUGGGGUCUGCAACUCGACCUCAUGAAGUCGGAGUCGCUAGUAAUCGCAGAUCAGCAACGCUGCGGUGAAUACGUUCCCGGG
rnacentral:rRNA from 1 species